rnacentral:rRNA from 1 species
GACGAACGCUGGCGGCGUGCCUAAUACAUGCAAGUUGAGCGCUGAAGGUUGGUACUUGUACCAACUGGAUGAGCAGCGAACGGGUGAGUAACGCGUGGGGAAUCUGCCUUUGAGCGGGGGACAACAUUUGGAAACGAAUGCUAAUACCGCAUAAAAACUUUAAACACAAGUUUUAAGUUUGAAAGAUGCAAUUGCAUCACUCAAAGAUGAUCCCGCGUUGUAUUAGCUAGUUGGUGAGGUAAAGGCUCACCAAGGCGAUGAUACAUAGCCGACCUGAGAGGGUGAUCGGCCACAUUGGGACGGAGACACGGCCCAAACUCCUACGGGGGGCAGGAGUAGGGAAUUUUGGGCAAGGGGCGAAAGUCGGACCGGGCAACGUCGGGUGAGGGAAGAAGGUUUUCGGAUUGUAAAACUCUGUUGGUAGGGAAGAAGGUUGGGGGGAGGGGAAAGCCCAGAAAGGGACGGUAACCACCCAAAAAGGGACGGUAAACUACGG